rnacentral:misc_RNA from 1 species
UGGUAGAAGAAAACCCGAGGUAGAUCCAAGAUUUGAACGGGAUUGAGAUUGGAAAUUUAUCCAAAACCUAUUUUGAUAUACGGGGUCUCAAGAUAUAAUAUUAUUUGUACUUAUUUAGUGAACUGUUUAAUACAUACAAGGUUUGAGCCAAAGUUACUAGGUUCAGAUAAACCCGUAACGAGCACUAGAUCUGUCUCGGGAGGAAACUAGCGUGCGGGUUUCAGUUGACGAGCACACUCCUCCUGUGGAAGGGAAACAGAUUGCCAACCAGUGCAAAUGUGGAGAAUACCUUUGAGAGAGUCUGAGGCUGGUUCCAGUGUCCAGACAGGGUAAAAUUCACUUGGAUGAAAAACACACUCUCCACCAAUACCAGUUAACAAACUCCCUUGAGCUCCAUUCAGAAACAUGUCCCCUUCUGAUCUGAUUAAACCACUUCUUGCUUCCUCCUUAUCUGCUGCCUUCUCUGUGUAGUAUUCGAAAGCUUUUUUCUUCUGUGAAGCUUCAUAUAUGUUGCAUUGAGAAUAUAUCUGUGAUUCUACACUAGCACAAAUAGCAUAUAUACCCCAAUUUCUAGUGUAAUUGUUGUACAGAUGAACUUUACCAAAUCUAACACGAGGUUGCCUCUGCCUCGUUCCAUCGAAAAAGCAAUGGUGGAUGGUCA